rnacentral:rRNA from 1 species
UACGUAGGGCGCAAGCGUUAUCCGGAAUUAUUGGGCGUAAAGAGCUCGUAGGCGCCUGUCGCGUCGGUUGUGAAAGCCCGGGGCUCAACCCCGGGUCUGCAGUCGAUACGGGCAGGCUAGAGUUCGGUGAGGGGAGAUCGGAAUCCUGGUGUAGGCGGUGGAAAUGCGCAGAUAUCAGGAGGAACACCGGGUGGCGAAGGCGGAUCUCUGGGGCCGAUGACUGACGCUGAGGAGCGAAAGCGUGGGGAGCGAACAGG